UAAAAAAAGAGAAAGAAAAAAAAAAAAAGGUUCAGUUUUUAGAUUUAAAUCAAAGUUAGAUCAAACUAAAGCCUUGCUCCCCAGUAGCCCUCGAGGAGUCAAGCUCUCAGUAGCCAUGGGCAGCCAGUGGGAACCGCAAUGGCCAUUCAGGUCUAUUCUGCUGAAGCCACUUAGCAUCCUCCAGCUGCAUCUUGUUGACUCUUGUUAAUCCUGUUAUCCCCCCACCCCCACCUCAUGUGACAGCCGUGGCUUGGCUUCCUCAGUUGCAGCUUGGAGAAUUUCACUUCGCCCCCUCUUCACCCGAGACUGGGGCGCAUAAGUGAACUUUCAUCCUUUCAGAAAAUCUAGAGGACCAAACACAAGCAAAUGGGGGCACAGGGAGAGGGGGCUCUUGCAUCCCGUUGCCAGGGUUUGACCAGCCCUCCCACCUAAGGGCAGAAGAUGCUGGCAAAUGCUUCCACCUCACCUGUAAGACGCGAACAGUAGGCAACGCACCUCCUUUACAGGCUGGAGAACCGGGACACUCCAGGUACAGCUCUCACAACACACCCUGGCUUGUGCUAAGGCCCACAUCACUGUCAGCCAGUACUAGUUAAGCAGAGUUAGUUCAAUACCCAUCUACCCCAACUGGUAAUCACAAGGUAGUUCCUCCCACUGAAUUCAUUUUUCUACAUUUCCCUCUAAUCCCCACUUGCUUUGUUUUCUGAAAAGAAAACCCCAAGUGGGCAAUGAGAUGCCCUUCUAAGCAGCUGCAGGGGGUGCAGGCGUGCCCACUCUGGCCUCUGCACACAAGCUGGCCGGCCCUUAGGGUGGACCAGGACCGGAACAUGCAAGCGGCCCACGAGAAGGUCACACUCUGGUCUCUAGAGCGCUCUAAGAACUCCCUACGUAUGUCGGUGUGACCGACGGCACAGAGACAUCCCACCGUCGCGUGGAGCAAGCACUCAGCUCUGCUGGUCCCUACGAUCAAAGAUCCACCCACUUAGACAGACACAGCAGUUAAAUACAUUUAAUAGGACCAAGCCCACCUUCCUCUCAAUGUUAAAGUAAAUCUAGAGAACAAACUCAACAUUUAAAACUGUUAAAAAGUUCCUCAGCUCAUUUAAAAAAACAAAAACA